rnacentral:rRNA from 1 species
AGUUUGAUCCUGGCUCAGAUUGAACGCUGGCGGCAUGCUUUACACAUGCAAGUCGAACGGUAACAGGCCGCAAGGUGCUGACGAGUGGCGAACGGGUGAGUAAUGCAUCGGAACGUGCCCAGUCGUGGGGGAUAACGCAGCGAAAGCUGCGCUAAUACCGCAUACGAUCUAUGGAUGAAAGCGGGGGACCGUAAGGCCUCGCGCGAUUGGAGCGGCCGAUGUCAGAUUAGGUAGUUGGUGGGGUAAAGGCUCACCAAGCCGACGAUCUGUAGCUGGUCUGAGAGGACGACCAGCCACACUGGGACUGAGACACGGCCCAGACUCCUACGGGAGGCAGCAGUGGGGAAUUUUGGACAAUGGGCGCAAGCCUGAUCCAGCAAUGCCGCGUGCAGGAAGAAGGCCUUCGGGUUGUAAACUGCUUUUGUACGGAACGAAAAGGCUCUGGUUAAUACCUGGGGCUCAUGACGGUACCGUAAGAAUAAGCACCGGCUAACUACGUGCCAGCAGCCGCGGUAAUACGUAGGGUGCAAGCGUUAAUCGGAAUUACUGGGCGUAAAGCGUGCGCAGGCGGUUUUGUAAGACAGGCGUGAAAUCCCCGGGCUUAACCUGGGAAUUGCGCUUGUGA